UUGUGAAGUAGUUUUGAUGUGAAGUGAUAUUGCAAACCCCUCACAUCCAUCCAUCCAUCCAUCCAUCCAUCUCUGUUUCUGAUUAGGGUGUUCUUUACUGGACGGUGAACAUGCUGCGAUGGGAGCAGCCUACAAAACAGCACCACAAGCACAGGGCCUGGAGAGCAUCGCUGAGCAGAGAUGUUUAUCUGGAGAACAAGAUCCUCCCUACAUCAGUCUGCCAGUAAAGGCAGUCAUGUCCUGGAAGUUAGAGAUAUGAUUUCAUCUGCUGCUCACCAGUGGAUCAUCUACAGUGAAUGGGUGCCGUCAUGAGAGUGCAAACAGCUGAUAAAAACAUCACAAUAAUCCACACCACUCCAGUCCAUCAAUGAAGAGCUUGUGAAGCAAAAAAAAAUUAAUUAAUUAAUUUAAAAAAAAUACAUACAAAUCCAUCAUUAAGGUGUUUUAACUUCAAACAAUUGCUUCUGGUCAAAAUAUGAGUCCAUAAAAAGUGAAAAGUGAGUGAAAAAGUCAGACCCCUGUUGUCUCUCACAUUAAAAUCCACCCAGAACUCUUUUGGACUGUUAAACAUCUAACAAAAAGAGAUGUUUAGCAGAAUGUUCACGCU
ensembl:lncRNA